rnacentral:rRNA from 1 species
UGGGGAAUUUUGGACAAUGGGCGCAAGCCUGAUCCAGCCAUGCCGCGUGCGGGAAGAAGGCCUUCGGGUUGUAAACCGCUUUUGUCAGGGAAGAAAUCUUCUGAGUUAAUACCUCGGGAGGAUGACGGUACCUGAAGAAUAAGCACCGGCUAACUACGUGCCAGCAGCCGCGGUAAUACGUAGGGUGCAAGCGUUAAUCGGAAUUACUGGGCGUAAAGCGUGCGCAGGCGGUUUUGUAAGACAGAGGUGAAAUCCCGGGACCGUCAACCUGGGAACUGCCUUUGUGACUGCAAGGCUUGAGUGCGGCAGAGGGGGAUGGAAUUCCGCGUGUAGCAGUGAAAUGCGUAGAUAUGCGGAGGAACACCGAUGGCGAAGGCAAUCCCCUGGGCCUGCACUGACGCUCAUGCACGAAAAGCGUGGGGAGCAAAACAGGAUUAGAUA